CCUGGUCUUUUGUACAUGCUAGUUCCAGUAUUUAGUCUGGUCCUCCCUGGUCUUUCUACAUGAUAGUUCCAGUUAGUAUAGGUCUGGUCCCUGGUCUUUUCUACAUGAUAGUUCCAGUAUAUAGUCUGGUCCUCCCUGGUCUUUUCUACAUGAUAGUUCCAGUAUAUAGUCUGGUCCUCCCUGGUCUUUGUAACAUGUUAGUUCCGUAUAUAGUCGUCGUCCCUGGUCUUUUCUACAUGAUAGUUCCAGUAUUAUGUCUGGUCCUCCCUGGUCUUUUGUACAUGAUAGUUCCAGUAUAUAGUCUGCUCCCUGGUCUUUUCUACAUGUAGUUCCAGUUUAGUAUUAGGUCCUGGUCCUACCUUGUCUU
rnacentral:lncRNA from 1 species